GUGGCAGACGCUCCUGUGCGAGAACCGAAGGCAGGGGAAGGCCGAGAAGACGCUUCCUCUGCCAAUGCUGUUCAGGGAGGCCGAGGCGAGCGACGCCAACGUGUUCCUGACGGAGACGUCUUGCAGGGCGCGGCCGGCGCCCCGUGCCUGGUGCGCCGUCGAGAGCUGGGCCCGCCAGAACCCGGCGUCACGCGUGUGGUACCUGCUGACGGCGCCGCAGCUGGACGACUCCGACGGCGUGGCGUCGCUCCUCCUGCGGGAGUACGGGAACCUCCGCUUCG